rnacentral:misc_RNA from 1 species
AAUUCUCAACCCCCUUGUGCUUUUGCGAGCUACAAGGAGGCUUGGAUUUGGGGGACUGUGUUGGCCUAGUCGGUCGACUCCCCUUGAAUGCAUUAGCUGGACUGUCCGUCUUGUUAACGGUUCGCGGUGUGAUACACUAUCUACGCCCUGGUAAAUCCGUCUUUCAGGUCUGGUCAAGCUUCUAAUCGUCUUCGGACAAUUCACCUAUU